rfam:TPA: Bos taurus chromosome 15, whole genome shotgun sequence.
UUCCUGGUAGCUCAGACGGUAAAGCGUCUGCCUGCAAUGCGGGAGACCUGGGUUCGAUCUCUGGGUCGGGAAG